rnacentral:sRNA from 1 species
AGUGUUAUCGCUUUUGGCAUAGUACUUCUGAGCCGAUGAUUUCAGAAGGGAUCUUAAGAAUUUGCUAGCGCGGUGUGCAAGCCUAUCUUGAAUAGGAAGCCUUAAGUGUUACGAUUCGAAUCCACCUUAUUAGAGUGGGUUCAGAAAGAAUAUGCCACGAAGCACUC